GACGAACGCUGGCGGCGUGCUUAACACAUGCAAGUCGAACGGAAAGGCCUGCUUUCCCUUGUGGUUUGCGGGUACUCGAGUGGCGAACGGGUGAGUAACACGUGAGUGAUCUGCCCCCAACUUGGGUAUAAGCCUGGGAAACUGGGUCUAAUUCCCGAUAGGACUGCAGGGUGGUGCCUGUGGUGGAAAACGAUUUUCUAGUGGUUGGGGAUGAGCUCGCGGCCUAUCAGCUUGGUGGUGGGGCAAUGGCCUACCAAGGCGGCGACGGGGAGCCGGCCUGAGAGGGUGGACGGCCACAUUGAGACUGAGAUACGGCCCAGACGCCUACGGGAGGCAGCAGAGGGGAAUAUUGCACAAUGAGCGGAAGCCUGAUGCAGCGACGCUGCGUGGGGGAUGACGGCCUUCGGGUUGUAAACUCCUUUCGACCGCGAGGAAGCCACCUGGUUGGAAGGGUGGUGACGGUAGUGGUAGAAGAAGCACCGGCUAACUACGUG
rnacentral:rRNA from 1 species